rnacentral:rRNA from 1 species
GAGUUUGAUCGUGGCUCAGAUUGAACGCUGGCGGCAGGCCUAACACAUGCAAGUCGAACGGUAACAGGAAGAAGCUUGCUUCUUUGCUGACGAGUGGCGGACGGGUGAGUAAUGUCUGGGAAACUGCCUGAUGGAGGGGGAUAACUACUGGAAACGGUAGCUAAUACCGCAUAACGUCGCAAGACCAAAGAGGGGGACCUUCGGGCCUCUUGCCAUCGGAUGUGCCCAGAUGGGAUUAGCUAGUAGGUGGGGUAACGGCUCACCUAGGCGACGAUCCCCAGCUGGUCUGAGAGGAUGACCAGCCACACUGGAACUGAGACACGGUCCAGACUCCUACGGGAGGCAGCAGUGGGGAAUAUUGCACAAUGGGCGCAAGCCUGAUGCAGCCAUGCCGCGUGUAUGAAGAAGGCCUUCGGGUUGUAAAGUACUUUCAGCGGGGAGGAAGGGAGUAAAGUUAAUACCUUUGCUCAUUGACGUUACCCGCAGAAGAAGCACCGGCUAACUCCGUGCCAGCAGCCGCGGUAAUACGGAGGGUGCAAGCGUUAAUCGGAAUUACUGGGCGUAAAGCGCACGCAGGCGGUUUGUUAAGUCAGAUGUGAAAUCCCCGGGCUCAACCUGGGAACUGCAUCUGAUACUGGCAAGCUUGAGUCUCGUAGAGGGGGGUAGAAUUCCAGGUGUAGCGGUGAAAUGCGUAGAGAUCUGGAGGAAUACCGGUGGCGAAGGCGGCCCCCUGGACGAAGACUGACGCUCAGGUGCGAAAGCGUGGGGAACAAACAGGAUUAGAUACCCUGGUAGUCCACGCCGUAAGCGAUGUCGACUUGGAGGUUGUGCCCUUGAGGCGUGGCUUCCGGAGCUAACGCGUUAAGUCGACCGCCUGGGGAGUACGGCCGCAAGGUUAAAACUCAAAUGAAUUGACGGGGGCCCGCACAAGCGGUGGAGCAUGUGGUUUAAUUCGAUGCAACGCGAAGAACCUUACCUGGUCUUGACAUCCACAGAACUUUCCAGAGAUGGAUUGGUGCCUUCGGGAACUGUGAGACAGGUGCUGCAUGGCUGUCGUCAGCUCGUGUUGUGAAAUGUUGGGUUAAGUCCCGCAACGAGCGCAACCCUUAUCUUUUGUUGCCAGCGGUCCGGCCGGGAACUCAAAGGAGACUGCCAGUGAUAAACUGGAGGAAGGUGGGGAUGACGUCAAGUCAUCAUGGCCCUUACGACCAGGGCUACACACGUGCUACAAUGGCGCAUACAAAGAGAAGCGACCUCGCGAGAGCAAGCGGACCUCAUAAAGUGCGUCGUAGUCCGGAUUGGAGUCUGCAACUCGACUCCAUGAAGUCGGAAUCGCUAGUAAUCGUGGAUCAGAAUGCCACGGUGAAUACGUUCCCGGGCCUUGUACACACCGCCCGUCACUCCAUGGGAGUGGGUUGCAAAAGAAGUAGGUAGCUUAACCUUCGGGAGGGCGCUUACCACUUUGUGAUUCAUGACUGGGGUGAAGUCGGAACAAGGUAACCGUAGGGGAACCUGCGGUUG